rnacentral:rRNA from 1 species
GACCCUAUAGAGUUUAAUAUUCAAUAAAUUAUAUUUUUUUUAGAAUUUAUAAGUUAUAUUUUAUUGAGUAUUUAAUUGGGGUGAUUAAAAAAUUAAAUAAACUUUUUUUACAUUAAAACAUUAAUUUAUGAUUAUUUGAUCCAUUAAUAGUGAUUAUAAGAUUAAAUUACCUUAGGGAUAACAGCGUAAUUUUUUUUGAGAGUUCUAAUCGAAAAGAAAGAUUGCGACCUCGAUGUUGGAUUAAAAUUUAUAUUUGGUGUAGAAGCUAAAUUUAUUGGGUCUGUUCGACCUUUAAAAUUUUACAUGAUCUGA